rnacentral:rRNA from 1 species
UACGUAGGGACCAAGCGUUGUUCGGAUUUACUGGGCGUAAAGGGCGCGUAGGCGGCAAAUUAAGUCAUCUGUGAAAUCUCCGAGCUUAACUCGGAACGGUCAGGUGAUACUGAUCUGCUAGAGUGCGGAAGGGGCAAUCGGAAUUCUCGGUGUAGCGGUGAAAUGCGUAGAUAUCGAGAGGAACACCGGUGGCGAAGGCGGCAUCCUGGACCAACACUGACACUGAUGAGCGAAAGCCAGGGGAGCAAACGGG